rnacentral:rRNA from 1 species
CCUACGGGCGGCUGCAGUGGGGAAUAUUGCACAAUGGGCGCAAGCCUGAUGCAGCCAUGCCGCGUGUGUGAAGAAGGCCUUCGGGUUGUAAAGCACUUUCAGCGGGGAGGAAGGCGGUGAGGUUAAUAACCUCAUCGAUUGACGUUACCCGCAGAAGAAGCACCGGCUAACUCCGUGCCAGCAGCCGCGGUAAUACGGAGGGUGCAAGCGUUAAUCGGAAUUACUGGGCGUAAAGCGCACGCAGGCGGUCUGUCAAGUCGGAUGUGAAAUCCCCGGGCUCAACCUGGGAACUGCAUUCGAAACUGGCAGGCUAAAGUCUUGUAGAGGGGGGUAGAAUUCCAGGUGUAGCGGUGAAAUGCGUAGAGAUCUGGAGGAAUACCGGUGGCGAAGGCGGCCCCCUGGACAAAGACUGACGCUCAGGUGCGAAAGCGUGGGGAGCAAACAGGAUUAGAUACCCUUGUAGUC